UGGCCGGUGACUUGUGCUCCUGCGGGGGCGG
rnacentral:sRNA from 1 species